ACGGGUGAGUAACGCGUGGGAACAUACCUUUUGGUUCGGAACAACACAGGGAAACUUGUGCUAAUACCGGAUAAGCCCUUACGGGGAAAGAUUUAUCGCCGAAAGAUUGGCCCGCGUCUGAUUAGCUAGUUGGUGAGGUAACGGCUCACCAAGGCGACGAUCAGUAGCUGGUCUGAGAGGAUGAUCAGCCACAUUGGGACUGAGACACGGCCCAAACUCCUACGGGAGGCAGCAGUGGGGAAUAUUGGACAAUGGGCGCAAGCCUGAUCCAGCCAUGCCGCGUGAGUGAUGAAGGCCCUAGGGUUGUAAAGCUCUUUUGUGCGGGAAGAUAAUGACGGUACCGCAAGAAUAAGCCCCGGCUAACUUCGUGCCAGCAGCCGCGGUAAUACGAAGGGGGCUAGCGUUGCUCGGAAUCACUGGGCGUAAAGGGUGCGUAGGCGGGUCUUUAAGUCAGGGGUGAAAUCCUGGAGCUCAACUCCAGAACUGCCUUUGAUACUGAAGAUCUUGAGUUCGGGAGAGGUGAGUGGAACUGCGAGUGUAGAGGUGAAAUUCGUAGA
rnacentral:rRNA from 2 species